UCCCUGGUGGUCUAGUGUUUAAGACAUUGCACUUACAUUGUAGGGGAUACAAGUUCGAACCUUAGUCCAGGAA
rnacentral:tRNA from 1 species